GGAUGUGAGGGCAAUCUGGCUGCGACAUAUGUCACCCCAUUGAUCACCAGAGUUGAUUCGGCUGAUCCGGCUGGCUAGGCAGGUGUCCCCUUCCUCCCUCACCGCUCCAUGUGCGUUCCUCCGGAAGCUGCGCACUGUCAAAGAGGAUGACCAUCCCCACUAGAGGAGGACUGGUCUUCGGUCAAGGGUAUAUGAGUAGCUGCGCUCCCCUGCUAGAACCUCCAAACAAGCUCUCAAUGGCUAAAUCCUCACCUUGUAAGUGCCAGUAUCCAUAUGGGUGCAGGUUCGUGUCAGGGCUGCUCCACUUCCCAUCCAGCUCCCUGCUUGU
ensembl:misc_RNA 7SK 7SK RNA